UUUGAUCCUGGCUCAGAACGAACGCUGGCGGCAGGCCUAACACAUGCAAGUCGAGCGCAGUCCUUCGGGACCGAGCGGCGGACGGGUUAGUAACGCGUGGGAAUGUACCCUUCUCUAAGGAAUAGCCUCGGGAAACUGAGAGUAAUACCUUAUACGCCCUUUGGGGGAAAGAUUUAUCGGAGAAGGAUCAGCCCGCGUUAGAUUAGAUAGUUGGUGGGGUAAUGGCCUACCAAGUCUACGAUCUAUAGCUGGUUUUAGAGGAUGAUCAGCAACACUGGGACUGAGACACGGCCCAGACUCCUACGGGAGGCAGCAGUGGGGAANCUUAGACAAUGGGCGCAAGCCUGAUCUAGCCAUGCCGCGUGAGUGAUGAAGGCCUUAGGGUCGUAAAGCUCUUUCGCCAGGGAUGAUAAUGACAGUACCUGGUAAAGAAACCCCGGCUAACUCCGUGCCAGCAGCCGCGGUAAUAAGGG
rnacentral:rRNA from 1 species